rnacentral:rRNA from 1 species
UGGUGGUUUGAAUUGUCUGGUUAAUUCCGAUAACGAACAAGACCUUUUCCUGCUAUUUAGCUGAGGAGGGUCUAAUAAUAAUGGGUAAACUUGUUUAUCCAUAUACUUUAGUAUUUGAAGUGAGCUUCUUAGAGGUACUCUUUUGUUUGUGAAACAAUUAAAGGAAGAAAGACAAUAACA